rnacentral:rRNA from 1 species
UACGGACGGGGCAAGCGUUGUUCGGAAUCAUUGGGCGUAAAGGGCGCGUAGGUGGUUCUGUAUGUCUACUGUGAAAGCGUACAGCUCAACUGUAUUUUGUCGGUAGAAACUGCAGGACUUGAGGCUGGGAGGGGCUGGUGGAAUUCCCUGUGUAGCGGUGAAAUGCGUAGAGAUGGGGGAGAACACGCGUGGCGAAGGCGGCCAGCUAGACCAGUUCUGACACUGAGGCGCGACAGCGUGGGGAGCAAACAGG